rnacentral:rRNA from 1 species
GACGAACGCUGGCGGCGCGCCUAACACAUGCGAGUCGAACGGAGUCAAGAGGAGCUUGCUUUUCUUGACUUAGUGGCGAACGGGUGAGUAACGCGUGAGUAACCUGCCCUGGAGUGGGGGACAACAGUUGGAAACGACUGCUAAUACCGCAUAAGCCCACGGAUCCGCAUGGAUCUGCGGGAAAAGGAUUUAUUCGCUUCAGGAUGGACUCGCGUCCAAUUAGCUAGUUGGUGAGGUAACGGCCCACCAAGGCGACGAUUGGUAGCCGGACUGAGAGGUUGAACGGCCACAUUGGGACUGAGACACGGCCCAGACUCCUACGGGAGGCAGCAGUGGGGGAUAUUGCACAAUGGGGGAAACCCUGAUGCAGCGACGCCGCGUGGAGGAAGAAGGUUUUCGGAUUGUAAACUCCUGUCGUGAGGGACGAUAAUGACGGUACCUAACAAGAAAGCACCGGCUAACUACGUG